CUCAGAGCACGGUGCGGACGGGAGCUCCCUGUGCGGGCUCCGCAGGGGAUGCUCAGCUCGGGAUGCGGCGGCAGCGUCGGUCGGAGCGCUGUGCGGAGAGCCGGAUCGGGGGCUGCUGCUGCUCCUACCCGAGCUCCAAAGCGCUCGGGUGGGACCAGGAUCUGGGCCCGAGGACUCAGGUCCUGAUCCUGCCGGUAUUUCCUGUGGGAGCUGGGCCGAGCCACUUCUACCUGGGCGGGCAGGGUGCGGGUGCUGGGGCUGGAGGAUCAAGGUGGGAUUGGGGAUGCGAUCGGCACCGGCAUCGCCGCAUUCGGAAAGAACCACUCCGGGAGAGGCGCUACAGCUCCGGCUGCAGCCGGCGGAGGGCUGGAUCCCGCCGGGACUCCGGGCAUGCUCCGGCAGGAAGGAACCGGUGCUAUGCCGGUGUUGUGCCAGUGCCAUGCCCGCCAGGAGGAUGAGGCUUCCUGGGAGCAGCCUCUGGAUCGCGCUGGAAGCGGGAAGGACACGGACAACGCCCGUACCGGCCCCAGGACCCCAUCGGUAUCGCCGCCCGCCCCGCGGGGCGCCCCCUGGCGGACACGGCGCCGCCCCGCAGCCCCCCGGCCCGGUAACCCCACGAGCCCCGCACUCCCCUACGAGCCGCAGCGCCCCAGCCCCUUCUCCGUGCCCGCACCCCCGGGGCUGCAGCGCCCCGGCCGGGAGCAGCCGCUCUGGGACGGCCGCUGGGGCCGAGGCGUUGCUGCUCCCGCUCCCAUUGUGCCUGGUGUGGGACUGGAGCCACAGGGAAACACGAGGGAAAACCCCCCAGUGUUAAAAACCAGUGACAACUGUUUGUUCUUUAUUUCCAGAGCCGUGAGGAUCACCAAAUCAAAUGCUGAGAAGUGACCGGCCCAGCUGCACAUCAAACACAGAAUUUUGGUCCUCUCAGCACCCUGCUCCAAACACCUGAGCCAAUCCCAGGGCUGUUCCAAAGGUCCUGCAUGGGAUGGGAAUGACUGCUGCCAGUAAGAGACUUCCUCUGCAAAUGCAGCUCCUUCCCUUCUGCUAAUGCUGCUUUACACACCAGCCCCUGCAAUGGCUGUAGGGAAGAACUGGCUGGCACUCAACAUGUCAGCACCAAACUCUUCCCCAUAACCCUGAUUUUUCUGCCCUUCCCAGGAUUUACCCAGCAGCUGUAAAUGUGCUCACACAAUGUCCCUUUGUUUCCCCAGGAAGAAGGGAACCAGACAAUUCCUGAGGGUUCCUCUGGAGAGUGGCAGGGGCGUUUCCUGCAGGGUGUCCCAGCUGGCUGGGAGCGCAGGGCAGGAGGAGCCAGAAGCUCCUGAAGGCAAGCAGCCCCUCGUGUCUGUGGGAUCUGCAGGAGGAGCUGUGCCUGCACCGUGGCUCCUGGGCCAGGGGCUGCUCUGAGCAGGC